ensembl:lncRNA
AUUGUGAUUUGGUGCUUUAAGUAAAACUGAAACUGAAUUGAAUUGAACAUUACACAGUUAGUGCAGUGGCUAGCACUCCUGUAAUAAGCCAUCACCUGACGUGUCUGUGAAGGUUCUCAGUCAUCCAGGUCAUCGUAGUCAAAGGAGUUUGCAAAGAAAAAGCGUCUGGACUUCUUUAAGUUGCUUGAAGACGUUUCACCUCUCAUCCGAGAAGCUUCUUCAGUUCUAAGGUCAAAUGGCCGAGAGUCCCAGAUUUAAACUCAGUGGGAGUAUCCCCCCAAGGAGGGACAAAGGACCCCCUGGUGAUCCUCUAAUCACAUGCGCCACCUGACCAAUACAAUAUGUUCAGUUGAAUGCUGAUUUACGGUGGCCCUGAGAGGCCAAACGGACUGCAACUUCAGAAAACACUUGCAAAAAGAAAAAUGCUGCAAAAAGAAAAACGCUGCAAAAAGAAAAACGCUGCAAAAGCACACAAAGCACAACGGAAAUAGGAAAAAAGACAACGGAAAUGUUUCUGGGGAGACAAUACCCGGACGGACCAGUUGCACGAACCAAAACAUGCUAACAAGUGCACUGGGAGACACUUCAAAGAAGUGGAGCGGCCAAAGAGUAAACUUUCAAAACUUAUCACACAUUUGAUUUCCAUGUGUGACAACUGCAAGUGUCCAGAGUGAGGACAGACUGAGGGACCCACUGCUGCACAUCAUCUGUGAGGCUUUGCACCCCUGAUGAUCCACCAGGACAAACUCAACAGUGUGCGAGGAAGAGGAGGAGGAAGAGCCAGCAGCAGCUGACAGAUGGAGAGAAUAGACAGACUGUUCCCUGUUUGUGAAGGACUGCUAGGAAAGUUUAACAUAACUAAUUGUCUGUCCUGAAUCAGUCUUAUUAGGUAAUGUUCAAAUAAUGUUAUCAUCCCAGUGUUUUCAGUGUGGGAGAAAGUACUCAGGGCCUUCAAGUUACACACUAUGAAAGGCAGCAACAAGUUUAAUAUUCAGAAACCUAAAGUAUGUAUCAGCAGCAGGAUGGAGCUAAAAAUAAAUGUUUGCUUCAGUUCUAUGAAGCUUUGAGUAUUUUGGAUUAGUAGCACUGCUGUGUUUGUUGCAUCAUAUUGCUGUAAUUGUUUAUAUGCUUUAUAUAUUCUGAGCUAAGUUGAUCUAUAGUGUUACAUCAUAUUCUAUAAGGAUGUUAUGUGUUUGUAGACUUUCUGCCCAGUUUGACCCAUUUAGCAGAAGUCAGCCUGUUUAAGGCUCUGAUAUCUAUUCUGUAUGACUUAAAGCAGUUAUGACAUGGUCUGAUUUUCUCACCCAAUAAAGGAAUAUUUAAUAUUUCAGUCUACUCUUCAUUCUAUCAGAAACAGUUAUCACAGCUCGUACAUUUGCUUCUUCCACACAUAUAUAAGCAUUGAGCCAAAUUUAGUAAUGCCAACAUAUUAAAAAAA